AACCUAGACCCCCCAACCAGACAGCCUUCAUUGAUUCCUCUGGUGAUGAUACUGGUGAUGUUAAAAGUGAAGUGACAUUUUGUCUGAAAGUCUCCAAUGUCAGCUGUUAUGGCUUAGCUGUAAGGUUGCUAUAAAAUCACCUGUGAUUCACUGGAAAAUCCCUGAUCAUCCCAUGACUUGAAUUACAAAGGUGUGCUAACUAGGCCAGGAUAAUGCACGGGAGGGCAGCUGUUAGAACUACUGGCUCACUUGUAUAAGGGACAAACUCCAGGCUCAGAGCACCAGCUUAAUUGUUUGUUAUAGAGAUAGUUGCAGCAAGGAGUCAUGAGUCAAGUAGGGCUUGGUGUCAGCUAGUUGUAAAAUAAUUUUUUUGUAGAUUGCCCCCACCUGCCUUGGCAAAUUGAG